rnacentral:rRNA from 1 species
UCCUGGCUCAGGAUGAACGCUAGCGACAGGCUUAACACAUGCAAGUCGAGGGGCAGCACAGGUAGCAAUACCGGGUGGCGACCGGCGCACGGGUGAGUAACGCGUAUGCAACUUACCUAUCAGAGGGGGAUAACCCGGCGAAAGUCGGACUAAUACCGCAUGAAGCAGGGGCCCCGCAUGGGGAUAUUUGCUAAAGAUUCAUCGCUGAUAGAUAGGCAUGCGUUCCAUUAGGCAGUUGGCGGGGUAACGGCCCACCAAACCGACGAUGGAUAGGGGUUCUGAGAGGAAGGUCCCCCACAUUGGUACUGAGACACGGACCAAACUCCUACGGGAGGCAGCAGUGAGGAAUAUUGGUCAAUGGGCGUAAGCCUGAACCAGCCAAGUCGCGUGAGGGAUGAAGGUUCUAUGGAUCGUAAACCUCUUUUAUAAGGGAAUAAAGUGCGGGACGUGUCCCGUUUUGUAUGUACCUUAUGAAUAAGGAUCGGCUAACUCCGUGCCAGCAGCCGCGGUAAUACGGAGGAUCCGAGCGUUAUCCGGAUUUAUUGGGUUUAAAGGGUGCGUAGGCGGCCUUUUAAGUCAGCGGUGAAAGUCUGUGGCUCAACCAUAGAAUUGCCGUUGAAACUGGGGGGCUUGAGUAUGUUUGAGGCAGGCGGAAUGCGUGGUGUAGCGGUGAAAUGCUUAGAUAUCACGCAGAACCCCGAUUGCGAAGGCAGCCUGCCAAGCCAUGACUGACGCUGAUGCACGAAAGCGUGGGGAUCAAACAGGAUUAGAUACCCUGGUAGUCCACGCAGUAAACGAUGAAUACUAACUGUUUGCGAUACAAUGUAAGCGGUACAGCGAAAGCGUUAAGUAUUCCACCUGGGGAGUACGCCGGCAACGGUGAAACUCAAAGGAAUUGACGGGGGCCCGCACAAGCGGAGGAACAUGUGGUUUAAUUCGAUGAUACGCGAGGAACCUUACCCGGGCUUAAAUUGCAAAGGAAUUGCGUGGAAACAUGCAAGUCUUCGGACCUUUGUGAAGGUGCUGCAUGGUUGUCGUCAGCUCGUGCCGUGAGGUGUCGGCUUAAGUGCCAUAACGAGCGCAACCCUUGUUGUCAGUUACUAACAGGUUCCGCUGAGGACUCUGACAAGACUGCCAUCGUAAGAUGUGAGGAAGGUGGGGAUGACGUCAAAUCAGCACGGCCCUUACGUCCGGGGCUACACACGUGUUACAAUGGGGGGUACAGAAGGCAGCUAC